rnacentral:rRNA from 1 species
UACGUAGGUCGCAAGCGUUGUCCGGAUUUACUGGGCGUAAAGAGCGCGCAGGCGGCUGGUCAAGUCCGAUGUGAAAUCUCCCGGCUCAACUGGGAAACUGCAUCGGAAACUGAUCGGCUUGAAGAUGGGAGAGGGUAGUGGAAUUCCUGGUGUAGCGGUGAAAUGCGCAGAUAUCAGGAGGAACACCGGUGGCGAAGGCGGUUCUCUGGGCCUUACCUGACGCUGAGGAGCGAAAGCGUGGGGAGCGAACAGG